rnacentral:rRNA from 1 species
CCAGCUUAACUGCGAGACGGACAGGUCGAGCAGGUACGAAAGUAGGUCAUAGUGAUCCGGUGGUUCUGAAUGGAAGGGCCAUCGCUCAACGGAUAAAAGGUACUCCGGGGAUAACAGGCUGAUACCGCCCAAGAGUUCAUAUCGACGGCGGUGUUUGGCACCUCGAUGUCGGCUCAUCACAUCCUGGGGCUGAAGUCGGUCCCAAGGGUAUGGCUGUUCGCCAUUUAAAGUGGUACGCGAGCUGGGUUCAGAACGUCGUGAGACAGUUCGGUCCCUAUCUGCCGUGGGCGUUGGAUGAUUGAAGGGAGUUGCUCCUAGUACGAGAGGACCGGAGUGAACGAACCUCUGGUGUUCGGGUUGUCACGCCAGUGGCACUGCCCGGUAGCUAAGUUCGGAAUCGAUAACCGCUGAAAGCAUCUAAGCGGGAAGCGAGCCCUGAGAUGAGUCAUCCCUGACCCCUUGAGGGUCCUAAAGGGCCGUUGGAGACCACAACGUUGAUAGGUGGGGUGUGUAAGCGCAGUGAUGUGUUGAGCUAACCCAUACUAAUUACCCGUGAGGCUUAACCAUACAACACCCAAGAAGUGUUCU